GACGGGUGAGUAAUGCUUAGGAAUCUGCCUAUUAGUGGGGGACAACAUUUCGAAAGGAAUGCUAAUACCGCAUACGUCCUACGGGAGAAAGCAGGGGAUCUUCGGACCUUGCGCUAAUAGAUGAGCCUAAGUCGGAUUAGCUAGUUGGUGGGGUAAAGGCCUACCAAGGCGACGAUCUGUAGCGGGUCUGAGAGGAUGAUCCGCCACACUGGGACUGAGACACGGCCCAGACUCCUACGGGAGGCAGCAGUGGGGAAUAUUGGACAAUGGGCGCAAGCCUGAUCCAGCCAUGCCGCGUGUGUGAAGAAGGCCUUAUGGUUGUAAAGCACUUUAAGCGAGGAGGAGGCUACUGAAGUUAAUACCUUCAGAUAGUGGAC
rnacentral:rRNA from 1 species